CAAACAUUUGUCAUUAUGUGGCGUGGUACACCCCUACAUCUACCACACGCAAACCAAACAUAAAAAAAAAAACACAAUGCAUUGUUGUAUGUCAUUACACAGACACAGCAGGCCUUACUGCUUUUACGCUGUUCUACUUUAUGAUGCAUCAUCAUUAUCUCAACUGAUCCCAGUACAAAAACAAGAGGAACCCAGAGGACCAUCAGAGCCCAGAGAGGAACGAACAGGACAACAAGUGCACCAAAGCCGAGUUGCACCACUGACUGCUGCAGGCCAGUCAGCAGAGGAAACUCCAGCACAAUCAGAAAAGCUGGUUCCCAGUGCAUGUCUGCAAUGUGUCUGUCUCCCCAUCUGCAUGUGUUAUUUGAGUUCAAUGACACCGUUUCACAGACUGAUUCAAGUCGUAUUGCUGCAGCCAUAAUUUUGAAACACAGCACAUAAACAUGCACAAAGUGGAAAAACA